AUGCCCAUUCAUGAUCAUUUUGAUGACUCCAUUACAUGGCACUUUGACAAGAAGGGGAUCUUCUCGGUGAAAUCAGCCUAUAAGGUUGCAGUGGACAAUGCAGAACAGGAAUCAAGCCAUGGGCAAACGCCAACUUCAAGAAGUAAUGGAGAGGUGACUGAUUUCGAAUGGAAGAGAAUAUGGGCUUUACCUCUCCCAAAUAAGGUCCUCCACUUCAUUUGGCGUAUGGCAACAUAUAGUCUACCACUGCGAAUGAAGUUGAAAAACAGGGGAAUGGAUAUUGACACUAGGUGCCCAGUGUGCUUCAGAUAUGAUGAGGAUGGUUGUCAUUGUUUCCUCAAAUGCAAAAAGGUGAAACAAUUGUGGCGCGCAUCACAGAUGGAAGAUAUUAGAAGCAAGUCAGUGCUAUGCAAUGAUCCUCUCAGCUUGUUUGAGGAGGUAUUUCAUCUGUCAGAGGAAGAGAGCAUAAAGGAAUCUUAA
rnacentral:rRNA from 1 species